rnacentral:tRNA from 1 species
GCUGUUAUCGGGGGCGACCACAGCACUCAUAAUGCUGGGGUCGGUGGUUCAAGUCCACCUAUCACCA